GACGAACGCUGGCGGCGUGCUUAACACAUGCAAGUCGAGCGAUGAAGCACCUUCGGGUGUGAAUUAGCGGCGAACGGGUGAGGAACACGUGAGAAAUCUGCCUUCAACUCUGGGAUAACUCCGGGAAACCGGGGCUAAUACCGGAUAUGAGCCUUGAUCGCAUGAUCGAGGCUGGAAAGUUUUUCGGUUGAAGAUGAUCUCGCGGCCUAUCAGCGUGUUGGUGAGGUAAUGGCUCACCAAGGCGACGACGGGUAGCCGGCCUGAGAGGGCGACCGGCCACACUGGGACUGAGACACGGCCCAGACUCCUACGGGAGGCAGCAGUGGGGAAUUUUGGACAAUGGGGGCAACCCUGAUCCAGCAAUGCCGCGUGCAGGAAGAAGGCCUUCGGGUUGUAAACCGCUUUUGUACGGAACGAAACGGUCUGGGUUAAUACCCUGGGCUAAUGACGGUACCGUAAGAAUAAGCACCGGCUAACUAC
rnacentral:rRNA from 1 species